GUCUACGGCCAUGCCACUCUGAACACGCCCAAUCUGUUCUGAUCUCAGAAGCUAAGCAGGGUCGGGCCUAGUUAGUACUUGGAUGGGAGACCACCUAGGAAGACCAGGUGCUAUAGGCA
rnacentral:rRNA from 1 species